UACGUAGGGACCAAGCGUUGUUCGGAUUUACUGGGCGUAAAGGGCGCGUAGGCGGCAUGACAAGUCACUUGUGAAAUCUCUGGGCUUAACCCAGAACGGCCAAGUGAUACUGUCGCGCUAGAGUGCAGAAGGGGCAAUCGGAAUUCUCGGUGUAGCGGUGAAAUGCGUAGAUAUCGAGAGGAACACCAGAGGUGAAGGCGGGUUGCUGGGCUGACACUGACGCUGAGGCGCGAAAGCCAGGGGAGCAAACGGG
rnacentral:rRNA from 1 species